UACGGAGGGGGCGAGCGUUAUUCGGAAUUAUUGGGCGUAAAGGGCGCGUAGGCGGCUGUACAAGUCAAAGGUGAAAUCCCUCGGCUCAACUGAGGAACUGCCUUUGAAACUGUACGGCUUGAGGCCGGGAGGGGGUAGCGGAAUUCCCAGUGUAGCGGUGAAAUGCGUAGAUAUUGGGAGGAACACCAGUGGCGAAGGCGGCUACCUGGACCGGUUCUGACGCUGAUGCGCGAAAGCGUGGGUAGCAAGCAGG
rnacentral:rRNA from 1 species